UACGAGGGGGCACGAGCGUUGUUCGGAAUUACUGGGCGUAAAGGGCGCGUAGGCGGCUUAACAAGUCACUUGUGAAAUCUCCGGGCUUAACUCGGAACGGCCAAGUGAAACUGUCAAGCUAGAGUGCAGAAGGGGCAAUCGGAAUUCUUGGUGUAGCGGUGAAAUGCGUAGAUAUCAAGAGGAACACCUGAGGUGAAGACGGGUUGCUGGGCUGACACUGACGGCUGAGGCGCGAAAGCCAGGGGAGCAAACGGG
rnacentral:rRNA from 1 species